AUACAGACAAAUAAUUACUCAAAACAAAUAUAUAGGACAAGAGUUAGAGUGAAAACUGCAAUGAUAAUAGCCGUACGCAUUUUAUUCAUAUCUAAUUUACUUCUUUCGCUAUUUUACAUCAAACAAAAACGCGCGACCCUGUCUGUUUGCCACUAGUAGUGUGUUUUUUGACUGGUCAUAAUGCAAUGCCUGUGGUUUGCUUAAACCGUCCGUGGAAGAUAGAAUUUGUCUAUGACGUUUUCCUUCAUGUGAUAUUACCACUACAGUGUUAGAAUUGAUUCCCACUACGUAUACAUUUCCAUCGUUGUCUACGGAGAUACCGUGUGGAUACUUUAAAACGUUUUCCUUUUCGAAUUCCCAUUGUUUCUUACCUUCGAAAUCAAUGCAUG
rnacentral:lncRNA from 1 species